UUGGAGGGCAAGUCUGGUGCCCGCAGCCGCGGUAAUUCCAGCUCCAAUAGCGUAUAUUAAAGUUGUUGCAGUUAAAAAGCUCGUAGUUGAAUUUCGGGGUUAGUAGGUUGGUCAUGCCUCUGGUAUGUACUGAUCUCACUGAUUCCUCCUUCCUUAUGAACCGUAAUGCCAUUAAUUUGGUGUUGCGGGGAAUUUGGACCGUUACUUUGAAAAAGUUAGAGUGUUUAAAGCAGGC
rnacentral:rRNA from 1 species